UGGCUCCAGCAGAACCCCGUGACCCUGUGUUCGGAUUCAGCAGAACAGAAGACUGAUGACCAUUCCACCUCUGACGUUACUUCUGUUGUUUGCCCUCCUGAACCUGCCCCUUCCUUCCAGGUUGUCAUAUGACCAGCAAUUUGGGCCACCUUGAAGUUACUUAUGUGUUAAACUUGAGUCUGAAAAGAUAUUUCUGCAACUAAUUGCAUGUUUUUUUUUUAUUUUGUGCAAACCUUUAAUUAUAUGGGGCCCUGACCCUUUCACGUUGUGUCUCUUUUUAUAGCAUACUGUAUAAUCAUUGAGCUAAACAUUAACCAAAUAUUUAUUUAUUUCUAUAUAAUACCAAUAUCCAUUGUUUUAAGGGUUCAAGAACAUCUAUUACAUGGAAGCUAUAAAGCUGUUUGCAACCUUUAGAGUUUCCAUAAACACUACAGCAGACACAAGUGGCCUAAAACAAUACCUCUCAAACAGCAAAUGAGAUGCUUUUAUUGACUGUCGGAAAUUACAGUUAAUGCUACAUUAAUUCCCCAAAGACUGAGCUGCAUAAGAAAUAAAAGUGUAAUUUGCAUA